rnacentral:rRNA from 1 species
GGGGGGGGGGGGGGGGGGGGCGGGGGGGUGGGGGUCGGGCGGUGGCGGUGGGCAACCGGGCGGCGGGUGGCGGGCGGGUGAGUAAUGCAUCGGAACGUGCCCAGGCGGGGGGGCUAGCCCGGCGCCAGCCGGAGUAAUACCGCAUGGGACCUGCUGGUGAACGGGCGGGAGCGCACGACCUCGCUCUUUUUUAGCGGCCGAUUUGAGAUUCGCUAGUUGUGGGGGUAAAGGCCUACCAAGGCGACGAUCUGUCGCUGGUCUGAACGGACGACCAGCCACACGGGGACUGAGACACGGCCCAGACUCCUACGGGAGGCAGCAGUGGGGAAUUUUGGACAAUGGGCGCAAGCCUGAUCCAGACAUGCCGCGUGCGGGAAGAAGGCCUUCGGGUUGUAAACCGCUUUUGUCAGGGAAGAAACGCGCUGGGCUAAUACCCUGGGGUAAUGACGGUACCUGAAGAAUAAGCACCGGCUAACUACGUG